rnacentral:rRNA from 1 species
UGGUUCUCCCCGAAAUCUAUUUAGGUAGAGCCUCGGACGAAUACUUACGGGGGUAGAGCACUGUUAAGGCUAGGGGGGUCAUCCCGACUUACCAACCCUUUGGCAAACUCCGAAUACCGUAAAGUACUAUCCGGGAGACACACGGCGGGUGCUAACGUCCGUCGUGGAGAGGGAAACAACCCAGACCGUCAGCUAAGGUCCCAAAGUGUAUGUUAAGUGGGAAACGAUGUGGGAAGGCUAAAACAGCUAGGAGGUUGGCUUAGAAGCAGCCACCCUUUAAAGAAAGCGUAAUAGCUCACUAGUCGAGUCGGCCUGCGCGGAAGAUGUAACGGGGCUAAACAUACCACCGAAGCUACGGCUGC